rnacentral:rRNA from 1 species
GACGAACGCUGGCGGCGUGCUUAACACAUGCAAGUCGAACGGAAAGGCCCUGCUUUUGUGGGGUGCUCGAGUGGCGAACGGGUGAGUAACACGUGAGUAACCUGCCCUUGACUUUGGGAUAACUUCAGGAAACUGGGGCUAAUACCGGAUAGGAGCUCCUGCUGCAUGGUGGGGGUUGGAAAGUUUCGGCGGUUGGGGAUGGACUCGCGGCUUAUCAGCUUGUUGGUGGGGUAGUGGCUUACCAAGGCUUUGACGGGUAGCCGGCCUGAGAGGGUGACCGGCCCCAUUGGGACUGAGAUACGGCCCAGACUCCUACGGGAGGCAAGAGUGGGGAAUAUUGCACAAUGGGCGGAAGCCUGAUGCAGCAACGCCGCGUGCGGGAUGACGGCCUUCGGGUUGUAAACCGCUUUCGCCUGUGACGAAGCGUGAGUGACGGUAAUGGGUAAAGAAGCACCGGCUAACUACGUG